GAACUAAAAUUAACCAGAUGCUCCGCAGGGCGUAGCUUUAUACGACCGCAGAGGUUGAACCCUGAACAGUUGGGGCAAGUAUGGACACAACAUUCAAGCUGGAUUCAGCUCUAAAUUUGGAUUGUGAUUAAAUAGUUGACACAGCAUAGGUUUCUGACACAGAAUGAAUGUGUUCUAAUGAACUUAAAAUUUUUGUUUUCUCUUAGAGCAAUUCACUAUGCUGAUGAAUAUUAAUCCUCUCAAAAAAAUGUUUGAAGAAAUUUUCUUUUUAUUUAUGAAAUUUCAAAUGAGAACCAGGUGCUCCGCAGGGCGCAGCUUUAUACGACCGCAGAGGUCGAACCCUGAACAGUUGGGGCAAGUAUGGACAAAACAUUCAAGCAUGAUACAGCUCUGAAUUUGGAUUGUGAUCAAAUUUUGACAUUACAUGGUUUUUUUACACAAAACAAAUGCCAAGAUUUUACAAAUCAAUUAAAGAUUUCUUCUUCAAACUUUUUAAAUCUAAAAUUAAAUAGUUGACACAGCAUAGGUU
rnacentral:lncRNA from 1 species